rnacentral:rRNA from 1 species
CCUACGGGAGGCAGCAGUGGGGAAUAUUGGACAAUGGGGGGAACCCUGAUGCAGCGACGCCGCGUGAGUGAAGAAGUAUUUCGGUAUGUAAAGCACUAUCAGCGGGGAAGAAGGAAAUGACGGUACCUGACUAAGAAGCCGCGGCUAACUACGGGCCAGCAGCCGCGGUAAUACGUAGGGGGCAAGCGUUAUCCGGAGUUACUGGGUGUAAAGGGAGCGUAGACGGCGAUGCAAGUCUGAAGUGAAAGGCGGGGGCCCAACCCGCGGACUGCUUUGGAAACUGGAUGGCUGGAGUGUAGGAGAGGGAAGUGGAAUUCCUGGUGUAGCGGUGAAAUGCGUAGAUAUUAGGAGGAAUACCAGUGGCGAAGGCGGCUUACUGGACUGUAACUGACGUUGAGGUUCGAAAGCGUGGGGAGCAAACAGGAUUAGAUACCCUAGUAGUC